rnacentral:rRNA from 1 species
CAGUCGCCGCGGUAAUACGAAGGGGGCUAGCGUUGUUCGGAAUUACUGGGCGUAAAGCGCACGCAGGCGGCUCGAUAAAUUAGAAGUGAAAGCCUUGGGCUUAACCUGAGAAUUGCUUUUAAGACUGUCGAGCUAGAAUCCAGAAGAGGGUAGUGGAAUUCCGAGUGUAGCAGUGAAAUGCGUAGAGAUGCGGAGGAACACCGAUGGCGAAGGCAGCCCCCUGGGAUGACACUGACGCUCAUGCACGAAAGCGUGGGGAGCAAACAGGAUUAGAUACCCGAGUAGUCCCUGUCUCUUAUAC